UGUAUAAUGGGUCAGCGACUUAUAUUCUGUAGCAAGGUUAACCGAAUAGGGGAGCCGAAGGGAAACCGAGUCUUAACUGGGCGUUAAGUUGCAGGGUAUAGACCCGAAACCCGGUGAUCUAGCCAUGGGCAGGUUGAAGGUUGGGUAACACUAACUGGAGGACCGAACCGACUAAUGUUGAAAAAUUAGCGGAUGACUUGUGGCUGGGGGUGAAAGGCCAAUCAAACCGGGAGAUAGCUGGUUCUCCCCGAAAGCUAUUUAGGUAGCGCCUCGUGAAUUCAUCUCCGGGGGUAGAGCACUGUUUCGGCAAGGGGGUCAUCCCGACUUACCAACCCGAUGCAAACUGCGAAUACCGGAGAAUGUUAUCACGGGAGACACACGGCGGGUGCUAACGUCCGUCGUGAAGAGGGAAACAACCCAGACCGCCAGCUAAGGUCCCAAAGUCAUGGUUAAGUGGGAAACGAUGUGGGAAGGCCCAGACAGCCAGGAUGUUGGCUUAGAAGCAGCCAUCAUUUAAAGAAAGCGUAAUAGCUCACUGGUCGAGUCGGCCUGCGCGGAAGAUGUAACGGGGCUAAACCAUGCACCGAAGCUGCGGCAGCGACGCUUAUGCGUUGUUGGGUAGGGGAGCGUUCUGUAAGCCUGCGAAGGUGUACUGUGAGGUAUGCUGGAGGUAUCAGAAGUGCGAAUGCUGACAUAAGUAACGAUAAAGCGGGUGAAAAGCCCGCUCGCCGGAAGACCAAGGGUUCCUGUCCAACGUUAAUCGGGGCAGGGUGAGUCGACCCCUAAGGCGAGGCCGAAAGGCGUAGUCGAUGGGAAACAGGUUAAUAUUCCUGUACUUGGUGUUACUGCGAAGGGGGGACGGAGAAGGCUAUGUUGGCCGGGCGACGGUUGUCCCGGUUUAAGCGUGUAGGCUGGUUUUCCAGGCAAAUCCGGAAAAUCAAGGCUGAGGCGUGAUGA
rnacentral:rRNA from 1 species